rnacentral:rRNA from 1 species
GACGAACCGUGCGAACGUUAUUCGGAAUCACUGGGCUUAAAGCGCGUGUAGGCGGAUGGGAACGUCGGUAGUUGAAAGCCCCCGGCUCAACCGGGGAAGUGGUGCCGAAACGACCCGUCUGGAGGGACGUAGGGGGACCUGGAACUUCCGGUGGAGCGGUGAAAUGCGUUGAGAUCGGAAGGAACGCCCGUGGCGAAAGCGGUGUUCUGGGCCUGUACUGACGCUGACGCGCGAAAGCGUGGGGAGCGAACAGG